GAUGAACGCUGGCGGCGUGCAUAACACAUUCAAGUCGAACGGUGAUGAGGACUUCGGUCCUCUGAUCAGUGGCGGACGGGUGAGUAACGCGUGAGCAACCUGCCCUAUAUUGCGGGAUAACAACCGGAAACAGUUGCUAAUACCGCAUGACGUAUUCGGAUCGCAUGUUCUGAAUACCAAAGAAUUUUGAUAUAGGAUGGGCUCGCGUCCGAUUAGGCAGUUGGUGGGGUAACGGCCCACCAAACCGACGAUCGGUAGCCGAACUGAGAGGUUGAACGGCCACAUUGGAACUGAGAUACGGUCCAGACUCCUACGGGAGGCAGCAGUGGGGAAUAUUGGGCAAUGGGCGAAAGCCUGACCCAGCGACGCCGCGUGAGGGAAGAAGGUCUUCGGAUUGUAAACCUCUUUCAGCAGGGAAGAAGCAAGUGACGGUACCUGCAGAAGAAGUCACGGCUAACUACGUG
rnacentral:rRNA from 1 species